GCCCGCCUAGCUCAAUUGGAUAGAGCGUCAGACUUUUAAAGACGAAAGUCUACAGGGCAUCUGAAGGCUGCGAGUUCGAUCCUCGCGGUGGGCU